rnacentral:rRNA from 1 species
GUGCCAGCCGCCGCGGUAAUACGUAGGUGGCAAGCGUUAUCCGGAAUUACUGGGCGUAAAGCGCACGCAGGCGGUCUUGUAAGUUUGACGUGAAAGCUCCCGGCUUAACUGGGAGAGGUCGUUGAAUACUGCGAGACUUGAGUUUAGGAGAGGGGUGUAGAAUUCCCGGUGUAGUGGUGGAAUGCGUAGAUAUCGGGGGGAAUACCAGUGGCGAAAGCGGCACCCUAGCCUUUGACUGACGCUCAUGUGCGAAAGCGUGGGGAGCGAACGGGAUUAGAAACCCCCGUAGUCC